rnacentral:rRNA from 1 species
GACGAACGCUGGCGGCGUGCUUAACACAUGCAAGUCGAACGGUAAGGCCCUUCGGGGUACACGAGUGGCGAACGGGUGAGUAACACGUGGGUGAUCUGCCCUGCACUUCGGGAUAAGCCUGGGAAACUGGGUCUAAUACCGGAUAGGACCACUGCCCGCAUGGGUGGUGGGGGAAAGCUUUUGCGGUGUGGGAUGGGCCCGCGGCCUAUCAGCUUGUUGGUGGGGUGAUGGCCUACCAAGGCGACGACGGGUAGCCGGCCUGAGAGGGUGACCGGCCACACUGGGACUGAGAUACGGCCCAGACUCCUACGGGAGGCAGCAGUGGGGAAUAUCGCACAAUGGGCGCAAGCCUGAUGCAGCGACGCCGCGUGAGGGAUGACGGCCUUCGGGUUGUAAACCUCUUUCAGCACCGACAAAGCGCAAGUGACGGUAGGUGCAGAAGAAGGACCGGCCAACUACGUGCCAGCAGCCGCCGUAA